UAUGGCUCAGGACGAACGCUGGCGGCGUGCCUAAUACAUGCAAGUCGAACGGUCUUUCUAUGGAAGCUUGCUUCCACUGAGAAGAUAGUGGCGAACGGGUGAGUAACACGUGGGUAACCUGCCCAUAAGAGGGGGGAUAACAUCCGGAAACGGGUGCUAAUACCGCAUAGUUUUCUUGAUCGCAUGAUCGGGAAAGGAAAGACGGCCUUUGUGCUGUCGCUUAUGGAUGGACCCGCGGCGUAUUAGUUAGUUGGUGAGGUAACGGCUCACCAAGACGAUGAUACGUAGCCGACCUGAGAGGGUGAUCGGCCACAUUGGGACUGAGACACGGCCCAAACUCCUACGGGAGGCAGCAGUAGGGAAUCUUCCGCAAUGGACGAAAGUCUGACGGAGCAACGCCGCGUGAGUGAAGAAAGGUUUUCGGAUCGUAAAACUCUGUUGUCAGAGAAGAACAAGUUGGAGAGUAACUGCUCCAGCCUUGACGGUAUCUGACCAGAAAGCCACGGCUAACUACGUGCCAGCCGCUGC
rnacentral:rRNA from 1 species